CUUCAGGGCAAGGUGAAAUUCCUGACCGGCGGUAAACCCCGCGAGCCAGCAAUGGCAGAACCUGUGUAAUUCAGGUGGCGACAGUAAAGUCUGGAUGGAAGAUG
rnacentral:ncRNA from 1 species